rnacentral:lncRNA from 1 species
GAUGUAAUGGGUAGUUGCAUAGUAAUAGGCCACAAUUACGCGCGUAGAGCGCGAAAGUUCCCUUCCGAUCAAAGUAGCCGAUCGGCUCGCGGCUAUCGCUUUAAAUGCGGGGUCGUGAGUCAACGGCCAAGGCGAUUCGACUUUUUUAUUAAUUAUUCCGGUCUAUUAGAAAAAUGCUAACUCGCUCCGAGCAACCGAGUUAAUUCCGAGUUAAUUCCGAGUUAAUGUACGCUCAAUUUCCCAUUUCUCAUUUUUUUUUUAUGCGGGCACCACGACCCCCAUGGGGUAACACCCUAAUUACGGCGGAUGGACGCGGCGGCGGCGGCGGCGGCGGUUCCGUUCGUCGCGGACGGCCGAGGCAGGAAAAGCAGCGCCUUGAAGAAGUGUCUUAACGAGUGUAUCUUUCGCGUACAGGCCGGAGCGGAGGGCAUAAUGAAUCAAUCUUAACGCUUGUAACGGCGCGCACAUCGACGCACGCCGGCGAAGGCGAAGCCGAAACAGUCUUGAUGAGAUAAUGGGCACUUCGAUUGUAAUUGGCCACAUUCACGCGCGUAGCAUGAAAUUUUUCAGCCUGCACGAGCCUUGCCUGCCUGCCUGCCGGCCGGCCGGCCGGCCGACCGACCAGAGCCAGCUCGCUCGCUACUGCUGAUGGUCUCGAUGCGGGAGGGUCAUAGUUCAGAGGUCCAAAGCGGGGGUCUUCCGCACACACGUCUUCCAUAUUAAGCGGCUCACUUUCACGCACCGCCAGGAUGCUCGGGAUAAGCGAAAUGCAAUUACCGUUGUAAAAAAGCCAGGCGUCGUUGCUUCGGCGUAACAGAUGUGAGGAUUGCGUUUCGAAAAAUUGCUCGGAAGAACUGCCGACGUCUCUUGUCAGAGAUCGUUAUAUUACUUUAACGAACAGUGAUUCGCAAUAAUUAUUAAUUAAAGACUUUGCCUCUUGUGUAAGUUGUCAUAUCUAAUUAAAUUUUUAACAGCGCUAUUUCGGAAGCUUGUAAAUAUAUAAGGUACUUAGAUCCAAUUUGAUUCACUCCCCUCUCCCUCCGCCUUUCAUUUUCAAAUACACAACAAAUUUUAGAGAUAACGUUAAUAUAUCGCACAGGAAGUUGAUACGAUGUAUUUGUGUUAGUUAACUGGUCAAUAUCUGCUUUUUACGGCUUGUAAUCGUUUUGCUUCGUAUAACUAUCACGCAACAAUUAUAAAUAUCCACAAUUCAUAUUAUUGUAGCUCUUUAAUUAUGCUUCUUAACAUUAUAUUUACUUUACAUUUUUAUUGAAACAUGUUUAUAAUUAAAGAAAGAAACUCUUUGUAUGAUGAAAAUAUUAUGGCUAGAAAUACUACUGGAAACACAAUAUAUCUUAUUAUCAGACAAAAGUUAAUAUUCUGUUUUUUUAAUGUUUAACUUUUGAUUAUUAGUAUUUCUUGCCUUUUUUCAGUUGGAGUUUUUUAACAGAUAAAAGUUAAGAUAAUGUCUCGUAGCAAAUAAACAUGGUUUUAUAUUAAAUAAUUUUUUCCAUAAGUAUGUUAAUGUUACACUAAACAUGUUGAUUUUUUAUUUCGCAUUUUUUCAAAAAUAUUUAUGAAAAAGAUAAAUAUAUAACUGUGCCAUAUUGAAUAGUAACACUAAAUACAAUCUUAUUUUUAAAUCUUUAAUAUACCUAUAUAAAUAAUAAAAAAUGUUUUAUUAAUUUUUUUAUAUCUUUGAAAUUAUCGACAUGUUUUUUAUUUUAAAUCUGACAAUUAGUUUUCAGUAUUUAUUUAAAAAAUUAAGAAAUUCUUAAAGCUAAGUGGACCAUAUGUACUGGUACUUUGUAUUUUUAAUAUUCUUUUGUACUUCAACGUUAAAGUCACGCACGCAAAGACCAUUGACAUAUUUGGAUGAUUUUAUUCGUCACGCACAAAGCAUUAAAAACACGCGUCAAUUUUUCUAUUGAUGGUAUUUAUCCGUUUCUUUAAACGACGGGAAUAUGUUUCGCCUUAAGAGAAAGUCCGUUAAUAAAGUCAAAACGUAGUGUCAUAAAGAAUGAAGCUGGAAGAGAUGAAGGAGCAUAUGUAUUUCUGCCCGAACGCAUUCCCCACGUGUGCGUCGGCUUUUAAGUCGUUCAUACGCCUUGCACACAUGUAUAACUCGCAUUGUGUGGCUGCCGCGCCGGCUGACAUUUGAGAGAGGCAAAAGAAGUGAAAGAAGGCGCGAUAGAGAAAGAGGGAAAAAGAGAAACGGAGCUGUGAGGAGGAGAAAGAGGAGGAAAUGGCUCGCGGUAGUAGGAGGAGAAUGCAGGAGAAGGGAAGAGAGGAGUGAGAGAAAGAGAGAAUGCGCGCGGGUCGGAGCCGGGUCGGAGGGAUCGAGAGGGUCAGAGGUCACGGGUCGUACGGCAUAGCCCUGACCUUCGACCUUAUCCCCCCUUUCAGCUUCUCUCUCGAGACCCCGUGCAGACCACUACCAAGCAUACCUAGAGCCCCGACUCUACUUCGUGACCGACUCGAGUGCGAGAGGCUCUCGCAACGAACGAGAGUCGUCACGGUCCGGGAAAGAUUCGAGCGAAUUUUCGGACGGGCUCUCCGCGUGUUCUCGUUGCGCGAGUGCGUCUGUGUGCCUGUCACGACAUGUUGCCGGUGUUUCGCGAGUGCAAUCUGCCGCAGACGAGGUGCGUCCGCGCGUUCCGAAUGUGAAACUGAAAAAUAAUUCAACUUCCGCGCUUUUGAACGGGACGGUCAAAAGAUACAGAUGCUGAUCCGAGAAAAACGGCUAUUCUGACGGCGGAAGGUCUUUCUCGUGUCAUUUCGGUGAGUAUUUUAUCUUUGAAAUUGUACGCAACAAAUAUCGUUACGCACUCCAUAUAAAUUCUCCACUCCACAUAAAUUUAUUGCAUUUGUCACUGGUGCGCAGUUUCUUCCGCGAUAAUUCGUCGCGAUAACCCGUGCGCAUUCGACGUAAUCGCAAAGUAGUGUAAUAACCGUCGCUUCUCGAAUGUCGGAAGUGAAAAAUCAUCGUCCCACUGGUUCUACGCGAUUAUGCGUAGGCCAGGGACCAAGUCAACUCUACGCACCGUGCGUGUAUCGGGCGUAUCUAUCGGGCCGAGGUCUACGCGGCGCUAUACGCGCGUAGCGAAGUGAUUAGGGCUUAACGAUUAUUCGCGGUCCCGCGGUGAAGUUAACCGGUCGUAGAAGUAAUAACGCCGGACAAUCUGGUCCGGCAAUCAAUGUGUACGUGUUUAUGUAAAUUGAACGAGUCGAGACACGAACCACGCGAGCGACUUUUGCUAUGCGGUUGCAUCUUGGGCGCCGCGUCAGAGUUAGACGAUUCUUUUAUUAUUAACCGGCGAGGAGGAAAGUGGGAGAAAGAGAGACCACGCGGAAUCGAACGCGAUCAUCUUCAAUUGCGACAGACGACAUUUCGUGUCAUUUCAAAUUGCAUUUUCCUUAUUAGUCGCGCGCAAACGCGACUUUUUUUCUCUCUAUAUCAAUCACAUGUAACGAGCUACACGUGAUAGUCCCUUAUAGACUUCGUAAAACGUUCAGGUUUUCUUUCUUUUCUCUCUCUCUCUUUUUUUUUUUUGAAGGAAUGUAAAGAAUGAAAAAUUUGCGGUACGAGCCAUGACGGAUGGGCAAUUAGGGUCCUGUAAACGUUGACUACUUGUAACGUACUGGCCGCCCGUACAACUGAAAAACGCGCUUUUAAUGUUAGCGAACGGCUGACAAUCCGGUAGUUAUAACUCUUCUUGAUCGACGAUUACUUGUAGUAAAUUGCCGAGGUGAAGCGGCCUCCCUCUCCUCGGCGGGAAGAUAUCGUGUUUGCGCUACACAACGGGCAAAUGUAAAGUAGAAUAAUUGUAGUCAUUAUUUUGUUAAACAAGGUUUUGCCAACGCCAUUCUCGUGCCGAUAAACGCGACGCUAUAAAAUUUUUAGUACGCACGAGCGCGACCGUUAUUGGUACGUUUGCACACGGGGAUUUUAAGACACUACCGAUCGUUAACGACGGAAAAUUGCAGCACCCGUGGCAUUUGUUUGUCUUAUCCGCUGCCGAGCUUACGUUUGCCGUGCGCUGCGCGUAGCCAGAACGCGCAUUGUAGGAGCGCCCGUAGUAAUAAUAGGUAUCGCCAGCUGUACAUGGAAAUUGCGGGUACUUUUCUCGUUACUCCUCAAAUUCACAUUGAUGCUUGCUGAAAUCUCAGGAUUGGCAGAUCGAAAGACGCAUUGCAGUCGCGUUAGCGGCACAAAGCGUCGCAGUAAACGUUUAUUAGUUUCAAAUGACGUAUUUUUGCACUUUCAAUGGGGAAUUAGGAUCAACUUGAUACUUUAUAUCGCGAAUACGUAUAUCGAUAUACAAAAUUAUCCAGUCGACUGGAGUACGUUCAACUUUUUUUCAUAUUGUAACAUUUACCUUUAUUUCUCAACAGUUAUUUACUUAUCGAUAUCGAGUGUAAUAAUUU